UACGUAGGGGGCGAGCGUUGUCCGGAAUUACUGGGCGUAAAGGGCGCGCAGGCGGCCGUGUAAGUCCGCUGUGAAAGACCGGGGCUCAACCCCGGGGGUGUCAGCGGGGACUGCACGGCUGGAGUCCCGGAGAGGGAGGCGGAAUACCUGGUGUAGCGGUGGAAUGCGUAGAGAUCAGGUGGAACACCGAUGGCGAAGGCAGCCUCCUGGACGGGUACUGACGCUGAGGCGCGAAAGCUAGGGGAGCGAACAGG
rnacentral:rRNA from 1 species